rnacentral:rRNA from 1 species
UACGUAGGGCGCAAGCGUUGUCCGGAAUUAUUGGGCGUAAAGAGCUCGUAGGCGGCUUGUCACGUCGGUUGUGAAAGCCCGGGGCUUAACCCCGGGUCUGCAGUCGAUACGGGCAGGCUAGAGUGUGGUAGGGGAGAUCGGAAUUCCUGGUGUAGCGGUGAAAUGCGCAGAUAUCAGGAGGAACACCGGUGGCGAAGGCGGAUCUCUGGGUCAUUACUGACGCUGAGGAGCGAAAGCGUGGGGAGCGAACAGG